rnacentral:rRNA from 1 species
AUUGAACGCUGGCGGCAUGCUUUACACAUGCAAGUCGAACGGCAGCACGGGCUUUGGCCUGGUGGCGAGUGGCGCACGGGUGAGAAAUAUAUCGGAAAGUACCUAGUAGUGGGGGAUAACGUCGCGCAAAUUACGCUAAUACCGCAUAUGAUCUAUGGAUGAAAAAACGGGACACCAAGGCCUUGUGCUCCUGGAGCAGCCGAUAUCUGAUUAGCUAGUUGGUGAGGUAAAGGCUCACCAAGGCGACGAUCAGUAGCUGGUCUGAGAGGACGACCAGCCACACUGGAACUGAGACACGGUCCAGACUCCUACGGGAGGCAGCAGUGGGGAAUUUUGGACAAUGGGCGCAAGCCUGAUCCAGCAAUGCCGCGUGAGUGAAGAAGGCCUUCGGGUUGUAAAGCUCUUUUGUCAGGGAAGAAACGGUAGAGGCUAAUAUCCUUUGCUAAUGACGGUACCUGAAGAAUAAGCACCGGCUAACUACGUG